GGCUUAUCAUAUCUAUAUAUUUUAUAUAAGUGCAACCCACUAAGAGUCAUUAAUAGCUAUUUCUCUCACUUGUGGUGAAGCCACAUCAUCAUUUUAUUUCAACCAUUGGAUCUGAAUGAAAGCUCAUAUCUUGGCCUUCCGCAACCCACUAAGAUUUCUUACCUUUUUACUUGGUUUUAUAUUGCCAUAUGAACAAUUUUUAUGACAGAAUUAGCAACAAAAUGUUAAAAAAAUAAUGUAAGUGCUGACAUCCCUCAUGCAUUUUUGUCACACCCAUUCCUAACAUCCUAUUAUAUUACAGUAAUACAGAUCACGAUGGUGGAGAAUCCAUAACCAAUUCAAAAUAUCUACAUUGGUCCAAUGAAACAUAGAAACUUCAGUUAUCCAAGAGAGUCAAUACAAAGUCCAAUCUCUUGCUUCACAAAAUGAUGCGGAUAUUUCCAUUUCCUCCAGGAAUAAAAUUUACGCAUCCUUAUCAUAA